ACGGAGCGACGCCGCGUGUGGAGAAGGCCUUCGGGUCGUAAACCACUGUCGAGGGGACGAUAUUGACGGUACCCUGGAGGAAGCCCCGGCUAACUACGUGC
rnacentral:rRNA from 1 species